rnacentral:rRNA from 1 species
AUGGGCAUGCGUUGUAUUAGCUAGUUGGUGGGGUAACGGCUCACCAAGGCGACGAUACAUAGGGGGACUGAGAGGUUAACCCCCCACACUGGUACUGAGACACGGACCAGACUCCUACGGGAGGCAGCAGUGAGGAAUAUUGGUCAAUGGACGCAAGUCUGAACCAGCCAUGCCGCGUGCAGGAUGACGGCUCUAUGAGUUGUAAACUGCUUUUGUACGAGGGUAAACGCAGAUACGUGUAUCUGUCUGAAAGUAUCGUACGAAUAAGGAUCGGCUAACUCCGUGCCAGCAGCCGCGGUAAUACGGAGGAUCCGAGCGUUAUCCGGAUUUAUUGGGUUUAAAGGGAGCGUAGGCGGAUUGUUAAGUCAGUUGUGAAAGUUUGCGGCUCAACCGUAAAAUUGCAGUUGAUACUGGCAGUCUUGAGUGCAGUAGAGGUGGGCGGAAUUCGUGGUGUAGCGGUGAAAUGCUUAGAUAUCACGAAGAACUCCGAUUGCGAAGGCAGCUCACUGGAGUGUAACUGACGCUGAUGCUCGAAAGUGUGGGUAUCAAACAGGAUUAGAUACCCUGGUAGUCCACACAGUAAACGAUGAAUACCCGCUGUUUGCGAUAUACAGUAAGCGGCCAAGCGAAAGCAUUAAGUAUUCCACCUGGGGAGUACGCCGGCAACGGUGAAACUCAAAGGAAUUGACGGGGGCCCGCACAAGCGGAGGAACAUGUGG